rnacentral:tRNA from 1 species
GCGAGGGUUGCCGAGCCAGGUCAAAGGCGCUAGGUUCAGGGCCUAGUCUCGCAGGAGUUCGGGCGUUCGAAUCGCCUCCCUCGCA